rnacentral:rRNA from 1 species
GAUGAACGCUGGCGGCGUGCCUAAUACAUGCAAGUCGAGCGAACAGACGAGGAGCUUGCUCCUCUGACGUUAGCGGCGGACGGGUGAGUAACACGUGGAUAACCUACCUAUAAGACUGGGAUAACUUCGGGAAACCGGAGCUAAUACCGGAUAAUAUAUUGAACCGCAUGGUUCAAUAGUGAAAGACGGUUUUGCUGUCACUUAUAGAUGGAUCCGCGCCGCAUUAGCUAGUUGGUAAGGUAACGGCUUACCAGGGCGACGAUGCGUAGCCGACCUGAGAGGGUGAUCGGCCACACUGGAACUGAGACACGGUCCAGACUCCUACGGGAGGCAGCAGUAGGGAAUCUUCCGCAAUGGGCGAAAGCCUGACGGAGCAACGCCGCGUGAGUGAUGAAGGUCUUCGGAUCGUAAAACCCUGUUAUUAGGGAAGAACAAAUGUGUAAGUAACUACGCACGUCUUGACGGUACCUAAUCAGAAAGCCACGGCUAACUACGUG